UAUUGGGCAAUGGGCGCAAGCCUGACCCAGCAACGCCGCGUGAAGGAAGAAGGCCCUCGGGUUGUAAACUUCUUUUAUUCGGGACGAANNAAAUGACGGUACCGAAUGAAUAAGCCACGGCUAACUACGUGCCAGCAGCCGCGGUAAUACGUAGGUGGCAAGCGUUAUCCGGAUUUACUGGGUGUAAAGGGCGAGUAGGCGGGAUUGCAAGUCAGAUGUGAAAACUAUGGGCUCAACCCAUAGACUGCAUUUGAAACUGCAGUCCUUGAGUGAUGGAGAGGCAGGCGGAAUUCCCGGUGUAGCGGUGGAAUGCGUAGAUAUCGGGAGGAACACCAGUGGCGAAGGCGGCCUGCUAGACAUUAACUGACGCUGAGGCGCGAAAGCGUGGGGAGCAAACAGG
rnacentral:rRNA from 1 species